AUUAAAUAAGACUUUACAUUAAAUUGUGUUAACAAGCACAAAAAUACUAGUAAGUAAUACUAUACUAAUAUGUAUUAUGUUGUACUCUCUGAAUAUGAUGAUGUAGAUUGCAAUGCAUCUUGGAAACAGUAGUCAGUUAACAGCAACAGCGUUCAAUCCGCUUUAUGAAAAGGACUACCUUUCCCAUAAUGCUACAGCUUACAAGAGGACCCGGAAGUCGCAUGAAAUUCAAACUGCCACACUUGACGACGCGUGAUCUUUGUUUUGUCUUUAUAUAAUACUGUAAGAAGUCAUGUACCACACAUUGUCAAACCUGAAGAAGUGUAUCUUCCUGCAAUCUGGGCUCCAGACCUGGAGAUUGAAGUUCCUAAAGGUUGAUGUUUAUCAAGCUUGUGACCUUAUUGCAUG